CUGGCUCCUCCCCAGCUCCAGCUGUGACUCAGUUCUCCACUGCAAAGGGCGAGUCACGGAAAUUUUUAUUUCAUGCAUCUUAGUGGGCGCAGAGACUGUGUUGGCACGGCAAAGAGAUAACCAGAGGGGCCUCCGUCGCCGUCCACUUUCGGCCUCCCACACCAGUGAAGAUUGCCCCCAGGCUGGAUGCAGGCGACAGGGAGGCCCUGGAACAUUCUGCUUACAGAUCGCGAACUGUCAAGGCCCGAGGCCCCGCUUUGUGACUUGGACAGGCUGCUCAUUGUGGGCUGGCGGGCGGGGCAUCCUCUGGUGUUUUCCUAAUAGUCAUCUCCAGGGUUUAGCCUCAGGCUUCGUUUCCUGCUUCUUUAUUUCGUCCUCUUGGGUAGCAUUAUCUGGUUUCUUUUCUCUAGUUUUCUGCCCUCUCUUUCUUUGGGUUUCACUGGUAAAUCUCAGCCGCCCCGGCCCCAGCACCCAAGCUUGGAGGAUAAGCAGGACACCUUCACCUCUUUUAAAAUCCUUAAAAGCGUUAGACUAGGCACUGGUCUUUGCUUUGAUAGAGGUUACUUGGGCUCCUGCCUGACUUUUUUUGCUUGUUUGUUUGUUUCUUGUGUUCUGUGGAACUGCGGAGAGUAAAGAUUUGAAAUUGCUGCUGCAGAGAGGGAGAGAGUGGGCAUGGAGGAUCCAGUUAAUGAUGUGGAUUGUGAAUUUCUAAUGUCAGCAGUUCGAAACAUCCCAUGCCUUAGCCGGGCGCGGUGGCUCAUGCUUGUAAUCCCACCACUUUGGGAGGCCGAGGGGGGAGGAUCACGUGAGGCAGGGAGUUCCAGACCAGCCUGGGCAACAUGGCAAAACCCCGUCUCUACUAAAAAUACAAAAAUUAGCAGGGCGUUGUGACACACGCCUGUAAUCCCAGCUACUCGGGAGGGCUGAGGCAGAAGAAUCGUUUGAACCUGGGAGGCAGAGAAUGCAGUAAACCAAGAUUGCUCCACUGCACUACAGCCUGGAGGACAGAGCAAGACUCCAUCUCAAAAAAAAAAGAAAAGAAAAAAGAAAAUCCCGUGCCUUGUUUGUAGCAAUACUUGGCAAACCGUCUCACAAAUGCAAGUAAUCCAUUAAUCCUGAUGAUCUCUCUCCCUCUUCCUCUUCUCACUGAACCUGUGAGGGCCACUUGUUGACAACUGUGGAAGAAACUUGUGUCACUCUGGAAAUAGUUACAUGGGCCUGAAGUGCCACAGACGUGGGCAGCUAAUGCCAGAAAUCUGGUGAUGCUAAGCUGAUGGCUGAUUUCUACAAAUACAAGGCCAUAAGCCUGACCCCUGCUGCUUAAUACAAGAGAAAAUAAGCUCUCUUGGGAAUCUGGUGGGAAUCACCAUCUCUUCCAGUGAAACUACAUUUACCCAGAGAGAUCCAUCAGGGAUGUACCAGUUAAAAUGCUUUCAGACUGAGGGAACAAAAACUCAAUUCAAACAGUACUUAGUAACAGGAAACUCAAUUCAAACAUAAUUGAAAAAGAGGAUUGGUAGAGUGGUGAUUAAGUGUGAGUCAUUCACAGCUCCAAAUCUGGUUUUCUACAGUUCUCUCCACUGCUCAACUAUGAGCCCCAUCCCGCACCUCUCACACUCCCCCAUGUCCCCCACACACCCCCUACCCAUGUGUAUGUGCCCACAUACGCACAGGUGUCAGCUUCAUUCCAGGCCUCACAACUCUGCACAAGAUCUUAAAAAAAAAAGGGGACCAUCUUAAAAUUUAGGACAUUUAUUUCCCAGAAGCCUCCCAGAAUUUUUACACUUGCCUUCCACUGGGUUACAUGGCUUUUCCAAAUCCAAAUUCUAUGGCUACAAAAAUGACAUGCAUUGAUGGGUUUAGGCCUAUGUUCCCUAAACAAUCACUGACAAGAAAUCUAAUAAUUGGCUUUUGACAAGUUAGAUCAAUUCUGAAGUAGAGUAGAUUCAGCUUCCCCAGGAGUAUUAGGGUGGUAUGGGAGGAAAAGUGGAUAUCUGUACAAAAAUCUGGGUACUACUGGGAAUGGAUAUUAAUAUUACAGGAAGCCUAUGAAAGAAUCACCAGCUUUGAUGAGUGGGGCUAAGGAAAUUCAGUGCAUUUGGAAGUAAGAAGUACUUGCAUAGAUACUUGGAUAGAUUUGGAUAGAUUUUUUUUUUUUUUCCUGAGACCAAGUCUCGCUCUGUCACCCAGGCUGGAGUGCAAACGCGCGAUCUUGGCUCACUGCAACCUCCGCCUCCCAGGUUCAAGCAAUUCCCCUGCCUCAGCCUCCUGAGUAGCUGGGAUUACAGGCACGCGUGACCACGCCCAGCUAAUUUUUGUAAUUUUAGUAGAGGCAGGAUUUCACCAUGUUGGUCAGGCUGGUCUUGAACUCCUGACCCCAUGAUCCGCCCACCUUGGCCUCCCAAAGUGCUGGGAUUACAGGCGUGAGCCACCGCGCCCAGCAUAGACAGAUAUUUUUUUAAAACCUGGUAAUGAAGUGGCAUUGUUGUCUGGAGUAAAUACCCGAGAUUGGUUGUGUCACAGCUAUGGAAAACUAGGACAUGGACACACAAAGAGGUUCAGAGCAGAAGUUGAAUAGGCAAAAGAAAAAGAAGAGCUCUCUGCAGCAGAGAGGGGUCCCAGAGAAAUGGGUUGCUGGUUCCACCGUGGAAUGCAAGGGAUUUUAUAGAUGACCUUAAGGAGGCAGUGUGUCAUUUACAUAGGGCACAAAAGAUUGGUUGGACCAGGUGUGUCAUUUGCAUACAGCUCAAAAAACUGGUUAGGGCUAGGUAUGCCAUUUGUAUAGGCACAAAAAGAUGGCCACCCCCACCCUAAUCUUUUAUUUUGCAGAUGGGUUCUCUACCUGGCCAGUGCCAUGUUGCCUGUUUCUUUACUGUAACUGUGGUGACAAAGAAAAGGGAAGAUGGAGCCUCCAUGUUGAACAUACCUGGCCCCCAGCACUAACUCCCUCUCUGGAUAUCUGGAACAAGGAGGACCUUAAACUUAACAAUAAAGCCAAUGAUGGUUCUACCAGUCUCCCCAAAGCCUCAAGUUUAAAAGCCAUAUGAACUGGCUGAUAGUGGAAAAUGGAAGCCAUGAGGAAAUCAGAUUAGAGUACUACCUGGUGAAGCCUGGAGGACCUACCAAGAAAAGCAAACUUGGAUCUUUGCAAGGUUAGAAGAACGAAUGGGAUCCAAGAAAAAGACUGGUCAUAUUCAACGGCUAAGAGCGUUGGAGAAGGCCUGUGGAGUCUCAGCAGGUCAGGUCCAUGACUCAUGAGUAGACACCUGUGUUUCUACUGCCUGGUGCCAUAAUCAUAAACAAGAGUAAUCAGCAAAUGCCUUUCCUUUCUCCUGCUGAUGUUUUGCCCGUACUCAGACCCCUUGACUUCUUAGCUUCUACCCAAAGUGAGCUUGUCAUCAAAGUUCUCCAAAAAUCUGCAGUGUUCUCUUGAGCAAAUCUGCUUCCAAGACUAUAGCGCUCUGAUGCAUUGAGAUGACAGCAAGCGGCAUUUUUCAGUCCUGUUACCCAUAUGGCUGCUACCACUGCAUCCUGUUAAAUAAUGUCUUCAACCCAAGAAACCUGCUUCCUAGGGAAGUUUCUCUCUCUCUGCAUUUGUUCCCACUAGAGAAUGACCAUCACCAGAUUCCUGAACUGAAAAUGCUGUUGACACUUUGGAAACUCGGGCCUCUAUUAAUAGGGUGACCAACUAUCCUGGUUUACCUUGAGUACAGGAUUUUCAAUGCUAAAACCAGAAAAACCAGGAUGGUUGGUCAUCUGCCUCAGACCUAAUAAAUACCAGUCAAUAAUUCAGCCAUGAGCUUUCUUAAGACACUGUCUUUUCUUGACUGUUGAAUAGUCUAGGACUUGAGUAGCAGCUCUUUCUGCUACUGGACACUUGUUUUACUACCCUAUUUCUCUAGAUUUUAUUUUGUGGCUAAUAAUUAAGACAUAAAAUCAUGGGUUCUGGUUAUGCCAAAGCACUCACUCUUCAAAAGUUUCCAUCCAGAGUUGGAUAAUCCCACACAGAAGGUGUUCUUUCAACAGACCAGCAUCCAAUAGACCCAAUGCAGCAUUUUUCUUCCUGGUUCCACAUUAAUACAUCCUAUCUCUGCUAUGCUUAGGUCCCUGAUUUAUAAAUAUUUCAGACAUAUUUUCUCAGGACACAGGGAGUACUUAAACUUCCACAUAGCAGAGAUACGACAUACAAUAAGCUGUUAUCUGGAAACUCCUAGUGAUGCUUUGAGUACUUUACAGUAAUCUUUCUGGUCUUCCUCUCAACCCCAUUAAGUUUUUCUGUAACUAGCUGGUGUAUCUGUCUCCAUCUUUAAGGAAUAAGUCCCUAUUUGCUCAUGCUAUAAUCUCCCUCAUGCUCUCCGUCCCUCCUUCCCUCUCCUUCUCUCUUUCUGUCUCUCUCUCUCUCCACCCUGAUUGUGAGAUGCUACACCUUAAUAGUUUUCUAUACCUAGAUCCCUUUUGAAGGAGUAAUUUCAGCCAUCACUGAAAUCUAUGCUUUUUUAUCUUGUUAGAUUUAUUUAGGACCUAAUGACUGUUUCUGAGCUAAUAAUAACGCAAUCAGCUCAUAUUUUUCUGAUACUCUAAGAGCAAUUACAUCUAGUUGCAUCACCUUUUCCUUUUUUAUUCAUGUAUCUUAGGCUUCUCAAGAUAUGAGACUAGCACUUGAGCCUGAGAUAAGCCUUAAGAAUUCCAGGAUAGUCUCUCCAUAGUUCCCUUUCUUGGAUAAAGUCAUUUCAAAACAUCUUAGUGGAUCAGAUUUGGAGCAGCCUACUUACACUGGUGAAUACCACAACUAAUAAAUAAUUGUUCUGCACCCCACCCACAUCUAAAGGAUUCAGGGUGUCUUUUACAGAUAUAGGACUCUCCUUUCUCUGUUUCUCUUCUCUCUCUUCUCCUUGAUUAAAGCUUUGCUUCAGCUGUCCCUGCUCACUACGGCACUGCACCUCACCAGCAUCUUCAUGGCCCUCACAUGGCUCAUGUGCAUAUCCUAACUCUGAUACUAAGGGAGGAGACCACCCCUCAUAUUGUCUUAUGCCCAAUUUCUGCCUCCAAAGAAAGAAGAAGUAAAAACUAAAAGGCAGAAAUGAAAUCCACAAGCAGACAGCCCGGCGCCACACCCUGGGCCUGGUAGUUAAAGAUCGACCCCUGACCUAAUCGGUUAUUUGCAUAAGAAAAGCACUGUGAAGAUCCCUGUCCUGUUCUGUUCCAUUCUAAUUACCGGUGUAUGCAGCCCCCAGUCAUGUACCCCUGCUUGCUCAAUCGAUCACGACCCUCUCACGUGGACCCCCUUAGAGUUGUGGGCCCUUAAAAGGGACAGGAAUUGCUCACUCGGGGAGCUUGGUUGUUGGAGAUGUGAGUCUUGCUAAAGCUCCCAGCCGAAUAAAGCCCUUCCUUCUUAACUCGGUGUCUGAGAGGUUUAGUCUGCAGCUUGUCCUGCUCUAAUACCUGUGUAGUUCAAGAAUAAUCUACAGCACAUUACACCCAAGGCUCUCACUUUGGCUAUAGUUGUGUCUUUACUGAGCCAUCCCCCAACCCCGCCCACAGUGGCAUCUGGCUAAGGCCUACCCUUUUGAAUAUUAAGGACACCCACAUGCACCUUGACAGAGACAUUUUGGCUGAAGGCAGGCAAGACCCAUCUACUGUUCCCCUAAGGUCAGCCCAGAGCCCUGCCUCUAUUAAAAACAGAUCCUUACCUGUGGAUAAGGUAACCUGUGGGUAACAGAUCCUUACCCGAGACUUGUGGGGCCCCAUCAAGGUGAAAGUCCCACCUGGGCCCGGGCAUGGGGAGUCAUGCCUGUAAUCCCAACACUUUGGGAGGCCAAGGAGGGUGGAUCACCUGAGAUCAGGAGUUCGAGACCAACCUGACCAAUACGGUGAAACCCCGUCUCUAUUAAAAAUACAAAAAUUAGGUGUGAUGGUGCACACGUGUAGUCCCAGCUACUUGGGAGGCUGAGGCAGGAGAACUGCUUGAACCCAGGA
rnacentral:lncRNA from 1 species